rnacentral:rRNA from 1 species
CGUGUCGUGAGAUGUUGGGUUAAGUCCCGCAACGAGCGCAACCCUUAUCCUUAGUUGCCAGCACGUCUGGGUGGGCACUCUAAGGAAACUGCCGGUGCUAAGCCGGAGGAAGGCGGGGAUGACGUCAAGUCCUCAUGGCCCUUACACGCGGGGCUACACACGUGCUACAAUGGCAGUGACAAUGGGAUAAUCCCAAAAAGCUGUCUCAGUUCAGAUUGUCCUCUGCAACUCGAGGGCAUGAAGUUGGAAUCGCUAGUAAUCGUGGAUCAGCAUGCCACGGUGAAUACGUUCCCGGGCCUU